rnacentral:rRNA from 1 species
UACGUAGGUGGCAAGCGUUGUCCGGAUUUAUUGGGUUUAAAGGGUGCGUAGGCGGCCCUGUAAGUCAGUGGUGAAAUACUCUAGCUUAACUAGAGGGGUGCCAAUGAUACUGCAGGGCUUGAGUACAGAUGAGGUAGGCGGAAUUGACGGUGUAGCGGUGAAAUGCAUAGAUAUCGUCAAGAACACCGAUAGCGAAGGCAGCUUACUGGGCUGUAACUGACGCUGAUGCACGAAAGUGUGGGGAUCGAACAGG